rnacentral:lncRNA from 1 species
AGCAUUACACACCCGGAAAAUAUGCCAGCCUUCUGCCCGGCCGUUCCCGGUCCAAUUCAGACAGAUCAAUCCCAGAUCUCAGGCCUGAUAACACACUCCUGAUCUACAGGGCUUGGACAGCAUUCGAUUCAGACAUUAAAAUAAGAUGCUGACUGUCUCAACGGAGGGGCAAAAUCAAGACAGAAGGCAAGAGAAUUAAAAAAAUAAGAAGAAGAAAGCUGCAGAAUCUGUGAGGACGGAGGAAUUAGCAGAGACCCCAGUAUCUUAAAGAAAG